ensembl:lncRNA
CCUCGGGCCGUGGAUGUUUACUGGGUCAGGCUGACUGAUUGCAAAACGGAGAUUGGGAAAUGGUGCAUGGUGGGCAGAGCACGGGAUCACAGGGCUGUGGCCGGACCCCAGCAGACCCUCCGGCCACAGCCAAGUGCCCUGCCAGCCUCAGCAGCAUGUGGUCCUUGGGCACUACCACCUCCUAGGGCAGCAAACACUGAAGUGCUCUGGAGAUCCCACAGCCCAGGUGGACGCCAGGCUUGGCGCACUUAGAACGACGCUGGCGCAUAGUUAGUGCGCAGCCCAUUUGGCUAUUGUGACUACUGAGAGCUCUGUGCCUGGCGCCGCUGGGCACUGAGGAUGUGGCCCCAUCCGCAUGCCAUCUCCUCGCUUGGUGACCGGUCCCGCCAUCCACCCAGGAACGUGGAACAGGCUCUCUGGACAUCCCGAGAGGGACCGGAGGAGCUCUAAAAUAGCUGCUGGGCAAGACUUGACCCCUUCCCUUUGGGACUGAGCGUUCACUGGGCCAUUUGGAAGCAUGGAUGCCACCCCAGCAGGUUUUAGCAGAAUUGGAGACGCAGAAAUGGCUGAGAGCAGGCAGGGACCACUGGUGGAAGCGGGAGGCGGAAGAGAAACCUCCCGGAAGAUAAGAGGCCUAGAUUUUCACACUGGUCAAAUGACUUUGCACCUUGUUUUUCCCAUAUUUGUGGCCUCAAUUCCUGCUGAAUCCCUCCGACGGACCCUGGAAAGAAUCAGAUGAAUGAGGGCCAGAAGCUGAGGGUUAAACAUCAAGCUCUGCCAUUUAUUAGCUCAGUGUUCCCUCCUGUGCCGCGCGGGCUUCCCGUACCACCCGCUGGGCUUGGUGUGGGCUGUGUGCAGACUCUGAUCACAGCAAUGCAUGUGAGAAGGGAGGUGGCAGGCUUGGCUAGAUCCUGCACGGGUGUCCGUGUGCACUUGAACACGCCCUAACAACCCCGGAAAAUGGUUAGUCUUUACAGCGUCUCCAUCUGGAUUAAGAGCCAGUGGGGUGUGAACUCUUGCUUUGUACUGUGCUUAGAACCUUCCUGGGGAGACUGGCACUGCAUGAGAAACUCAGGCAGAUGUCGCACAAGCUAUUGCGAGGACUGAGAUGGGAAGAUGUUUCAGAGCUCUCAGACUGUCAGUGCUUGUAAGUAAGACACAUCACCACCCACCCCGGCCCCUCCUGAAGACCCAGCUCUCCGUGUCUGGCCACGGUCAGGAGGUGUGGGCAGGGAGAAAGCAGACCGUAAUCUCCCUCCUCCUCAAAUGAUUAGGCGAGAAGAAGAGAAGAAGGAGAAAUCACCUGGCUUCGGGCUUCACCCAAAGCGACAAGUGAGGUCUGUUUUCUGCACCCAACCCUUGGGGGGAAUAUCUGUCUUUUGGCAACAGGUAAGCAGAAACCAGAACUGGUCAAAGUGGGGUGGCUGCCCUUCCCCACCCCCUGCCCCGCCCUCUGAUUGUAAGCUCUGCCGCUCAUCUGUCCAGGCAGGGGGAAACCUUCCACCAAGCACAAGGCAGGAGGUCCCAGGCCCCGGGGGCUGGCCUCAGGUGGUCUGAACGCUGGACUCGGAACCCACAAAUCUGGGUCUGGGCCUGGGUCUGGCUUUGGUCCUGGGCAAAGUCCUGACAGCUCUCUGAGCUUCAGUCUGCCCUUGGGUAAGGUGGGGGUUGUCAUCAAUGCACCUCGGAGACAAUGGAUGCAAACGUGUUGUGAACAGGAAGGCUCAGUGGGUUCAGAACGGCAGGUGAGGGGUCAUCACUGAGUAGAGCACACCCAGCAGCGUCCAUUGGGAGAUUUCUGCACAGCCUGUCCUCAGGGAGGGUCCGAACCUUCAGCUCGUGGUGCCCAGGCUCGGGAGAACCACACAUGCUGGUGGAACUGGGUAAGGAGGAGACUGGCCAUGGGCAUCUGGGGGUGCGGCCAUAUCCCUGAUCUGUGGUCGGGAGACCUGAGUUCUUGCGUGGUCUCUGCCACUGUGUGGCUCUGGGCAGAUCACUUCCAUCUUUCACGAUUUCAUCUUCUGUGAAAUGAGAGGAUGGUGGCAGGAAGCAACACAGUGUGGCAAGGUAUAGACCAACUAAGUAACAUAUGUGAAACACUUUUGCAAACUAGAGGGGGCUGCAGCGUGGAAACAGCCCUGGCCAGCAGCCUUGGGCUCUAGUCCUGCCUCUGGAGCAAGCAUGCUGUGUGACCUUGGGCAAGUCACUUCUCCUCUCUGGUUUGGGCUGGAUCAGUAGUUCCUAAACCGGGUAGACAUUAGAAUUAACUUGGAGGGGAUGGGUAUAAGAGACACGGAUGCCCCAUCAUGACCCAGGCCCACUCAAUCAGAAUAUUUGGGGUGGGGCAUCAGGAUCAUUUCCAACCUACCAAGUUGUUGCUAACAUGCAGUCGGGGUUGGGAACACUCUGUCUGGUUCAUCUCGAAGCCCCUUUCAGCUCGAGCUUGUUUGAUUUCUAGGAAGGUCGUGGGAUAUGGUGGUCACAGGUGGUCCUGACACUGGGGUCACCAUCCUCCCUGCCGGGAAUGGGGAAUUCCUCUCCAGCCACAGAGCCUGUGUUCUCAGCUCUGGCUGUGCACUAGAACCCCCUUGGGUGGCUUUUAAAAAUCUUCCAUGACUGGGCCCCACCCAGAGCAAGUGAGUCAGCUCUUUGGUGUCCGGCCUCCGUAGGUAAAGGCGUUCCCCAGGUGAUUCUCACGCACAGCGAGCGUUGACAGCCACUGCUGUAAGAACAGCCAGUGAGCCAGAGGAAGCAGAGACCGCUAAUCGUGGCCCCUUCCUUUCCCGGCCAGGAGCGGCUCAGGCCUGCCAGAGAGGACAUCAGCCUUCUUGCCCUGGAAGGUGUGCUCGGAGUGAGGAGGGUUACCUAACGGUUAAGGGUAUGGACUCUGAAGCCAGGUGGCCUGAGUUUGAAUUCCAGCUCUCCCUCCUUAUUGGCUGUGCAACUUGGGACAAACCACGUAACCUCUCUGUGCCUCAGUUUCCCUAUUUGUAAAAUGGGGUUCCUGAUGCUAGUCACCUCAUGGAGCUGCGGAGACUGAAUGAGUUAAUGCAUGGAAAGUCUACAGAUCAGGGCUUGGCAUGCAAUGAGCGUCAGCUAUAAUUUGAAAGCAGGGACUGCGUCUUGUUGACUCCAGACCCCAGUGUGAGAUUCCCAUGGCCCCACUCACGACCUGUUCAGUUGGACUGAAGAUAGGCGCAUGUCCCGUUUCUAGGUAUCCUGCCUUGAUCUUAUUCCCCAUAAAGCUUGUUUGUUAACCCAGCUGUUCUUAACCCUGGUUCUGGAUCAGAAUCACUGGGUGAGCUUUUGAAAAUGCAGAUCACAGGGCCCAACACCCCCAGCGCCCACCCCUAAUCACAGUUCUUAUUCAGCAGGUCUUGGGUGAGACCCGGGCACGUGGGUUUUGGCAACACCUCUGAAGUGACUUUAAUGUUCAACCAGGGCCGAGAAACAUUGCUCUCGAGGCAUAACUUGAUGUGAGCCUGUUGGCUUACUUUUGUAUGUACUUUUCCCAAAGAGAAAAAUUCUUUAUGAGUCUGGGAAUCUAGGCUUUUGAUUCAGAAAAUAAAACUUUGCCAAAUUAUUUUCUAACGGUGGGGAAAGUUUUCCAUGGGGCCAUUUAUGCUUUCUCACCUUGUGGUUGAUUGAAAACAUACUUUGCAGCAACUCCUAUAAAGAGGCAGAGUCUCUUUGGCUCCCCCUUGAAACUGAGCUGGUCUUGUGAGUUGCCUUGACCAGUAGAACUUGGUGGAAGUGAGGUUGUGUGAGUUCUGGAGCCCAGGCCUCCAGAAGCCCGUGGCUCUCAUCUUCACCUCUUGGACCAUGCUCCUGAGACCGCCAUGUAAGGAAGCCAUUUAGCCUGCUGGAGGAUGAGAGGCCAUGUGGAGGAGAAACGAGGUGUCCCAGCCAAUAACCGGAACUACCUCCCAAGUCCAUGAGGGAGACUGUCCUGGACCUUCCACUCCAACUGACCGUCCAGGGAACACAGCCAUGGAUCCUGCAUCCGGUGGUGCAGCCUGAACACUGCACAAAGAUGCCUGACCAAGGAGGCGAGUGAGGACUGUGUACUCCCUGGUACAAGUCUGCAUCCACCAGGAGGAAAGGGCAACUUAUAUUAUUACAUCAGACAAGAGGGUGUGCUUUUUUCUGCUUUGCAUAAAGUCACCAUAGAGAUGGGCAGUGUUCUAUCUGAAGCUCCACCCUCCCUGUACCCCAGCUGCUCCCAGCAACCAUCACUGUCCUUUUGGGGAUCCUCAGCUAAUCCUGGUGUCCCUCAGGCCUUACCUCCCACAGAGUGACUCAUGAACUAACUUUGCCCUAGAGAAUCCCAUCCUGCAAAGCCCACUUGUGAGAGGGGGCAGCGAGGCAGCUGAGCUGGAGUCUGAGGCAGGAGAUGGCUGCUAGGGAGGGGCCCCCUGUGUGGGGAGAGCUGACAAACUUUAGCAAAUGUGAUGUCUGCUCUUCAUCGUGGAAAUUAUUUCUUGUCGUGCCUGUAAGUCUCUUCCUUCAAACCUAAAUCAUUUUAAAAGUUUGUUUUUCUGCAGACAUAGCAGUUUUAUGUCAAUAGUAUUUUGGUUUCCACUGCGUCUACUGAAGCAAAACAAUGCCAAUAUGAAGACAACAGCAAAAGGUGAACAAGAAAAAUAAUCCGGAAGAGGUGGAUGUUAGCAGACCCAUCAUCUCAGGAAUGGUACCCCGCAUGAUAGCAUUUGUGAUCCCAGGAGUCCUUAGAAAUAUUGGAGAUGGCUCUUGGCUUCUCGCAGUUAUGCAGAUCUUCUCCAAGGCCCAGACUUGGAGAUGUUAAUUCCGUAAGAGAAGACUCUCCUGAAGCUAUUGGUCUUCCUGGACUCUGGUCAGGGGCUGAAGAGUGACUGGCAGAGCGGAGGCAAGGCCCAGGGAGACAGGAAGCCUGUUCUGUGAUGCUUGUCUCAGGUCUGUGCAGCAACUGAAGAGAGAAGCCACAAGAGGAGGAGAAGCUUGGUGGGCUCAUCAGCAACCGCUGUUUUUGUACCUAUCUGGGAGUGGGGUUGAGAAUGAUGUCAACAGCUUGGAACAACACCCCAGAGGCAACAGUGGGGCACUCUCUGAAGAAGUGUUGUCUCAUUCCUGUGAACAUCCCUGUGCUCCAGGAGGCACAGAAGAUGACGUGUGGGGAAAGGCAUGGACGUAGACAACUGUGAGCUGGAAAGUGAUUCAGAGGGUGUGGAUUCUGAAUGUGACCAAGUUUUAGGAUUACCUUAAGCAAUUUGCUUCACUGACAUUUUCCUUUUCAUGUAUGCAUGAGACUGAUCUAUAGUAAAAGCCUAUUCUAAAUAAAUCUUAAAAAGCUCUCUGUAAGUAUAAAGUACACAUUGUAAAUAAUAAGGAUCCUCUGUGUCAUAAUUUGAUAGGUAGCAUUUUUUUUCUUUCUUAGAGCUGCAUAAAGCAAUGGUGCAUCUUCCCCUCACUGCUGUCUUAGAUGGGUACAUUAGGCACUGUGUGUAUCUACCUGCCAGUCUGAG